GGAUCCAGACUUUGAUCCUGGCUCAGGACGAACGCUGGCGGCGUGCCUAACACAUGCAAGUCGAACGAAACUUCUUUAAAGGAUUUCUUCGGAAUGAAUUUGAUUAAGUUUAGUGGCGGACGGGUGAGUAACGCGUGAGUAACCUGCCUCUAAGAGGGGAAUAACAUUCUGAAAAGAAUGCUAAUACCGCAUAACAUAUAUUUAUCGCAUGGUAGAUAUAUCAAAGAUUUAUCGCUUAGAGAUGGACUCGCGUCCGAUUAGUUAGUUGGUGAGGUAACGGCUCACCAAGACCGCGAUCGGUAGCCGGACUGAGAGGUUGAACGGCCACAUUGGGACUGAGACACGGCCCAGACUCCUACGGGAGGCAGCAGUGGGGGAUAUUGCGCAA
rnacentral:rRNA from 1 species